AUCGAACGCUGGCGGCAGGCCUAACACAUGCAAGUCGAGCGGAGCGGCGGACGGGUGAGUGAUGCCUAGGAAUCUGCCUGGGGGUGGGGGAUAACGUACGGGAACGGGCGCUAAUACCGCAUACUAUCAGAUCAGCUUAGGUCGGAUUAGCUAGUUGGUGGGGGAAAGGCUUACCAAGGCGACGAUCCGUAACUGGUCUGAGAGGAUGAUCAGUCACACUGGAACUGUGACACGGUCCAGACUCCUACGGGAGGCAGCAGUGGGGAAUAUUGGACAAUGGGCGAAAGCCUGAUCCAGCCAUGCCGCGUGUGUGAAGAAGGUCUUCGGAUUGUAAAGCACUUUAAGUUGGGAGGCGUUAUCAACAGAAUAAGCACCGGCUAACUUCGUGCCAGCAGCCGCGGUAAUAC
rnacentral:rRNA from 1 species